rnacentral:rRNA from 1 species
AUUGAACGCUGGCGGCAGGCCUAACACAUGCAAGUCGAACGAGUGGGGACGGGUGAGUAACACGUGGGUAACCUACCAUCAGAGGGGAUAACACUUGGAAACAGGUGCUAAACCGAUAUUGAUGGAUGGACCCGAGGUGCAUUAGCUAGUUGGUGAGGUAACGGCUCACCAGGGCCACGAUGCAUAGCCUACCUGGGAGGGUGAUCGGCAAAACUGGGACGGGGCCACGGCCCAGAUUCCUACGGGAGGCAGCAGUAGGGAAUCUGAGGCAAUGGACGAAAGUCUGACCGAGCAACGCCGCGUGAGUGAAGAAGGUUUUCGGAUCGUAAAACUCUGUUGUUAGAGAAGCGGUAUCUAACCAGAAAGCCACGGCUAACUACGUGCCAGCAGCCGCGGUAAUUC